rnacentral:rRNA from 1 species
GACGAACGCUGGCGGCGUGCUUAACACAUGCAAGUCGAACGGAAAGGCCCUGCUUUUGUGGGGUGCUCGAGUGGCGAACGGGUGAGUAACACGUGAGUAACCUGCCCUUGACUUUGGGAUAACUUCAGGAAACUGGGGCUAAUACCGGAUAGGAGCUCCUGCUGCAUGGUGGGGGUUGGAAUGUUUCGGCGGUUGGGGAUGGACUCGCGGCUUAUCAGCUUGUUGGUGGGGUAGUGGCUUACCAAGGCUUUGACGGGUAGCCGGCCUGAGAGGGUGACCGGCCACAUUGGGACUGAGAUACGGCCCAGACUCCUACGGGAGGCAGCAGUGGGGAAUAUUGCACAAUGGGCGGAAGCCUGAUGCAGCAACGCCGCGUGCGGGAUGACGGCCUUCGGGUUGUAAACCGCUUUCGCCUGUGACGAAGCGUGAGUGACGGUAACGGGUAAAGAAGCACCGGCUAACUACGUG